GAACUGAAGAGUUUGAUCAUGGCUCAGAUUGAACGCUGGCGGCAGGCCUAACACAUGCAAGUCGAGCG
rnacentral:rRNA from 1 species